ACAAGUGAUUAUUGAAUUGAACCAGUAAAAACUCCUCAUGAUGAAUAAAGUCUGUUUGGCAAUUUGCGUGGUGUUUCUAUGUGUUGUCCUGGUCAACUUAGCUCAGGCUCAGAUAGAGCAAACCGGUAAAGCUGGCCAAAACAUGAUGGAUACAGCGAUUGGCGCAGCUUCUAAAACCGCUGAGUUAGGACAGAAUGCUACAAAACAAAUGAAGGAUGCUGUAUCCGGAUUUUCAGGUCGUUAAAAAUGCAUUUGCUUGAUUGUUAUAAAAGGAUUCAAUUGAAAUAAAACAUGUGCAUAUA